GCCCAGGUAGCUUAAACUUAAAGCUUCGACCUUGUAAGUCGAGGAUUGCAUUUUAACUCUGCCCUGGGCA
rnacentral:tRNA from 1 species